rnacentral:rRNA from 2 species
UACGUAUGGAGCGAGCGUUGUCCGGAAUUAUUGGGCGUAAAGGGUACGCAGGCGGUUUAAUAAGUCGAAUGUUAAAGAUCGGGGCUCAACCCCGUAAAGCAUUGGAAACUGAUAAACUUGAGUAGUGGAGAGGAAAGUGGAAUUCCUAGUGUAGUGGUGAAAUACGUAGAUAUUAGGAGGAAUACCAGUAGCGAAGGCGACUUUCUGGACACAAACUGACGCUGAGGUACGAAAGCGUGGGGAGCAAACA